rnacentral:rRNA from 1 species
UCGAACGCGAAAGUCCCGCAAGGGAUCAGUAGAGUGGCAAACGGGUGAGUAACACGUGGGUGACCUGCCUUCGAGUGGGGGAUAACGUCCCGAAAGGGACGCUAAUACCGCAUGACAUCCUGCCUUUUAACAGGUGGAGAUCAAAGCCGGGGAUCGUAAGACCUGGCACUCGAAGAGGGGCCCGCGCCUGAUUAGCUAGUUGGUGAGGUAACGGCUCACCAAGGCAACGAUCAGUAGCCGGCCCGAGAGGGCGGACGGCCACACUGGGACUGAGACACGGCCCAGACUCCUACGGGAGGCAGCAGUGGGGAAUUGUUCGCAAUGGGCGCAAGCCUGACGACGCAACGCCGCGUGGAGGAUGAAGAUCUUCGGGUCGUAAACUCCUUUCGAUCGAGACGAAUAAUCUCCGGGUGAACAAUCUGGAGAAAUGACGGUACCGAGAGAAGAAGCCCCGGCUAACUCCGUGCCAGCAGCCGCGGUAAUACGGGGGGGGCAAGCGUUGUUCGGAAUUACUGGGCGUAAAGGGCUUGUAGGUGGCCAACUAAGUCAGACGUGAAAUCCCUCGGCUUAACCGGGGAACUGCGUCUGAUACUGGAUGGCUUGAGUUUGGGAGAGGGACGCGGAAUUCCAGGUGUAGCGGUGAAAUGCGUAGAUAUCUGGAGGAACACCGGUGGCGAAGGCGGCGUCCUGGACCACGACUGACACUGAAAAGCGAAAGCCA